UUUAGCCAUCGUGCACACAUUUACGUAUUUAACUAAAAUAAUCUCUAUUUCAUGGCAGCUUUGUGAUUUAAAUUAUCACACUUCACAUAUGGAAAAGUGUCUGCCUCUAUACAAACUUCAGGCCAUGCAUGCACAAAACUAGUGGAUAAAAAGCCAUAAUGGAAAACUGGAUUAUGCCUCAGCAAUCCAAACUCUCAGAUGAAUCAAAGUUGGACAAGCUCUCUCUGACCAAUCAGCAGAGGUGGACCGGAGCACAAGUCUCCAAGACAACUCAACAGAGUAGGACUCAUCAGAACCUCUCAGCAGACCAACGGACCAAUUAGCAGAAACAGACUAUAGCAGAAGCUUAUCUGACCAAUCAGCAGAGAUGGACAACAGCUGAAGCCUCUCUCCCCUGAGAACCUUGGAGCAGAAGCUUGCUACCUUGCCAUUGGUUGCACCUCGGCCCCCCUCCCAGACUGCGAUUGAGGUUGUGAAGAGGUGCAGGGGAAGCUUGGUGGCUAGGCUAUGGGGGUUGGCUGCAGCCCCGGGGCAGACAACUAGUAGGAGCAGUGCAAGAGCUGUGAAGGGACAGGUGACGUGGAAUGAGGUAAAGUGUGGGGAAUAGG